rnacentral:rRNA from 1 species
GACGAACGCUGGCGGCGUGCCUAAUACAUGCAAGUCGAACGCACUCUCGUUUAGAUUGAAGGAGUUUGCUCCUGAUUGAUAAACAUUUGAGUGAGUGGCGGACGGGUGAGUAACACGUGGGUAACCUGCCCUAAAGUGGGGGAUAACAUUUGGAAACAGAUGCUAAUACCGCAUAAAACCUAACACCGCAUGGUGUAGGGUUGAAAGAUGGUUUCGGCUAUCACUUUAGGAUGGACCCGCGGUGCAUUAGUUAGUUGGUGAGGUAAAGGCUCACCAAGACCGUGAUGCAUAGCCGACCUGAGAGGGUAAUCGGCCACACUGGGACUGAGACACGGCCCAGACUCCUACGGGAGGCAGCAGUAGGGAAUCUUCCACAAUGGACGAAAGUCCGAUGGAGCAACGCCGCGUGAGUGAAGAAGGUUUUCGGAUCGUAAAACUCUGUUGUUGGAGAAGAAUGUAUCUGAUAGUAACUGAUCAGGUAGUGACGGUAUCCAACCAGAAAGCCACGGCUAACUACGUG